GAGAGUCAGUCCGUGCCAGAUGGGUUUGACUUUACCAAUCAUGAUUUGGUGGGACAUUUGGGAGGAUUUCCGGACUUGAUUGCGUCUUAUCUUCUCUCAGUCCACAUAUAUUUAGAAGCUAAUAGUACUAUUAUGAGGGUUCGGUAUACCGCUCUCAGCAGUCGGCCCCGACAGUCUACCUGUAGCCGGUGUUACAGACUCGGUGUGCGCUGACUCUGUUGUGUGUGUGUGUGUGUUUGUCUUUGAGUUCGGACCCUUCAACGUGCAGGUCUUUGCUGGGCUUAAUACACACCUACAACACGUUGUAGGAAAUUUCCAUAGUUCCCCUGUAAUACUGACCUCCUCCGGAGUGGUGAACAGGUAGGCAGACCCGAAUCUGUCACGCCAGGGCCAAACCUAAGAAUUUUUUAGUGGGUGCAACCCUGAAGGUGCAAGGUUAUCAACUCCAAUAAGAAACCCGCGGUCUGCAUGUGCACGUACCUGGAACGUCUUCACAGCCGCAGCCGCAGCCGCAGCAGCAAUAUCUUCCUCGUAGGCUGCAUCCAGAAGGUACCCAGGAUCUGCGGAGGGAAUUAUUAGUCUGACACAUGACAAAAAGGUUAUAUAGUUUUAUGCCACCUUGUAAAUUGUAGUGUUGAAUCCGUGUCAAAAGUCCUUCACCAAGAGUGUGUCCAAGAAUAUGAUGUUUUGUUACCUUUGGCCUCACAGAAGCUGUAAUUGUUUGCAAUUGAAAUACCCUCGAUUGUUGUAGCGGAGGAAUUGUAAUUUUCCCCUGAUUUAUUUUUCAUGUUUUGAAAGGACGACAUCGCUCUUCCAUAUGCGUUCUUCGCUCGCUACAAACUAGCUCGAUGGAAAUGCCAUAUGUUAUAUAUAAUAUAUAUAUAUAUAUACACACACAAACAAAAGAGUGUGGAUAUGUGGUUGGAGGUGUGGCUGUGUCAUAUACAAGGGAAUAUGGAUAUGUGCUUUCUUGUUGUGGAUUUCCUCUAAAUUUGUGUCGGCAGAGAGAGAGAGAGAGAGAGAGAAAGAGAGAGAGAGAGAGAGAGAGAAGCUCAGUAUAAUAAACAAGACUAAAGGUCUCAAUUGCCCUGUCGCUAACAUUAACGACGACCCGUCAAAGCCUUAGAUCAUUCAACUUACUACUUCUGGAACCACUGCUUCGGACUAUUGAUUUCUAGUCAUUAUUCCGUUUACUGUGGCUCGGUUCAUAUCUUUCUUCCAUCGUACUUUUUUCUACUAACAAUGGAUUCAUGGUCAUGGCGCAACUGCUUUGAGGGUUUCCUCCUGUUACACCUUUCCAACCUUUUCCCCCUCGAUUUCCGUUUCACCACUGAAUGACCUCAAAGGUCCCAGCACUUGGACUUUUGGCCUAAGGACUAUAUUCCUGCAAAUGCUCCAGGGUUCCGUAAGGGUUAUUGAUCAUGUCACCCUUUUUGAGUCGUACUUUCACCGUUCUUUGUAAUGUCCAGUUAAACGCUUCUCGUGAAUCUCUUAUUGUUUGGUCUUCUUUAAACCUGAGACUUCAUGAUAUUCAGUUGCAUCUAUACAAUCAUGCAGACUUGCAUGACUGCUAGUCACUCACCUGACUCUGAUUUCUGAGUCAUGGUUGACUGAAUGAUGUCAGAUCUGAUUUGUCAUUUGAAUCGCUUUCAUCAACUACCCUGUGAAUUCCAAAUGUUUUUAAAGCCUCUUGGUAAUCAGUUAGUUGACCAGAAAACAGAUACUACUAUAGCUGGGUCCAUAACACUACAGCUCCCCUCUCUAAUCUGGAUCUUGAUCAAGGGAGAGCGUCAAGUCUCGCUUUUCUUCUAGUUGUCUGUCAGAGACAACUAUUGAGACGACCUUGUCUGUCCGACCGAACUUUUUCCGUCAGCCCUCAGACCUUCAAAACUGCUGAAGCUAGAGGGCUGCAAAUUGGUAUGUUGAUCACCCACCUUCCAAUUAUCAAACUGCAGCCCUCUAGCCUCAGUAGUUUUGAUUUACUUUGUUUUCUUUAGGUUAAUGUGGUAAAAAUCAGCAUUGAGGAGCCAAACUUGGAGAUGUUUUUUGCGUAUUUCUUCGAAUUCUUCUUUCCCCAGUUAGAUGUUGCCAGUUGUGACUUUCAGAUAUUGUUUGUGAAUUCUGAUUUUAGUAUGACUUUGUGUUCAUGACAAUUGUCAGUUCAAAGCAUUUCACUAUUUGUACCUGGAAGUGGAUUUUGUCACGUGUCAAAUUUAAUGCGUGUGUGUCAUCUUUUUCCAAUACUCAUUUUUAAAAUAGUGGACGCCUGUAGUAGAUUCACAUCACCCGUGCAUCUGAUGCCUAGGCCAGUCCCUUACGAGGCUUCUGAUUGGGUGUUGAGAAGCCAAUCACUGGGCUGGAAACUCUUCUCAGUCUCUCUCUUGAGAGAGUUCACAUAGGCAGGAAGUAUGUUCCACCUCUCCUGAGGGAUACUUUUGAACAAUGUAUAUCCCUCAGGAGAGGUGGAACAUACUGCAUCCUUGACUUAUAUGAACUAUCUCUCUCUAGAGUGAGAGAGACUGAGGAGAGUUUCCAGCCCUAAGAUUGGCUUAUCAACAGCAGCCAAUCAGGAGUGUCGUAAGGGACGGGCCUAGACAUCAGACACGGGUGAUGUUUGUUUUAUUCAGCAACAAGAAUUAAAGAAAAGUUUUUAAUUAUUUCUAAUAAUGGUCACGAAUGACCAAACCUAUAUUUGAAACAUUAUAAGUCAUACAUUAAUGUGUAUACAUUAUUGCUUCUUUAUGCAGAAAUAUAUAUUGUCAGAAACCAACCAAUUUCAUUUACUUUAAAGGUUUAUGUAAAUUACAAACUCCUAAUGCCAUCUGUUGGUAAUAGUGAAAUUACUUAACUUCUAACGCCAUCUCUUGGUAACGGUGGAUUUACUUCAGUUUCAAUUCUGUUUUUCAUCCUUGGAAAAACUUACGUCGGAGCUUUUACGGCUUAUUUUGGUUGGGUUCAUUAUCCAGUGGUGGAGGCAAUACAUAUUUAUUCUGAUCUGGUGGUAAUGGCUUUUGUGUAUAUUUAAAGUGGUGAAAAUAUAUUUGUUUAGCCUU